UGUAACCGCCAUACGGAUAAGAAGCCCGGAAACCUCUCCACUAACCUAGAGCACUUGUACUCCAACGCUAGCUGCUGAAGUGGGAGUAAAUACACAGCAUCAUGAAGGAAAUACAAUCUAUGCCUUUUCAUUCCUCUGUGAAGUAAACACACAGCAUCAUGAAGGAAAUACCAUCUAUGACUUUUCAUUCCUCUGUGGAGUAAACACACAGCAUCAUGAAGGAAAUACCAUCUAUGACUUUUCAUUCCUCUGUGGGGUGCCUCCUUCCCUGAAAACAGAACUAGCCACUGUCUACUUCAGCUCCGUCAAGCACUCAAAGUUACUAAGAAGAAAGAGAAGGCAAACAUUUUCUAGAAAAAGCAUACUUUAGAGAGGAGAUCACAUAGGUACGAUUGCAUAGAAGACAAUGUUAGCCCCAGUUAAACCUCAGUACUGAGGAGGUAGCCGUUUUUCCCAUGGCCUCCCAUUCAAUCAGUGGUUAGUCAGCCUUGUACAUUUCUCUAAUGUUUCCUUGAACUCUCUCCAGUUCAGUCCUAAAAAUAAAAUAAGUUUGAAUGAUCAAA